rnacentral:rRNA from 1 species
GACGAACGCUGGCGGCGUGCUUAACGCAUGCAAGUCGAACGGAAAGGCCCUGCUUUUGUGGGGUGCUCGAGUGGCGAACGGGUGAGUAACACGUGAGUAACCUGCCCUUGACUUUGGGAUAACUUCAGGAAACUGGGGCUAAUACCGGAUAGGAGCUCCUGCUGCAUGGUGGGGGUUGGAAAGUUUCGGCGGUCGGGGAUGGACUCGCGGCUUAUCAGCUUGUUGGUGGGGUAGUGGCUUACCAAGGCUUUGACGGGUAGCCGGCCUGAGAGGGUGACCGGCCACAUUGGGACUGAGAUACGGCCCAGACUCCUACGGGAGGCAGCAGUGGGGAAUAUUGCACAAUGGGCGGAAGCCUGAUGCAGCAACGCCGCGUGCGGGAUGACGGCCUUCGGGUUGUAAACCGCUUUCGCCUGUGACGAAGCGUGAGUGACGGUAAUGGGUAAAGAAGCACCGGCUAACUACGUG